rnacentral:rRNA from 1 species
CAGUAGCCGCGGGAAUACGGAGGGUGCAAGCGUUAUCCGGAUUUAUUGGGUUUAAAGCGUCCGUAGGCGGAUCUGUAAGUCAGUGGUGAAAUCUCACAGCUUAACUGUGAAACUGCCAUUGAUACUGCAGGUCUUGAGUAAAUUUGAAGUGGCUGGAAUAAGUAGUGUAGCGGUGAAAUGCAUAGAUAUUACUUAGAACACCAAUUGCGAAGGCAGGUCACUAAGAUUUAACUGACGCUGAUGGACGAAAGCGUGGGGAGCGAACAGGAUUAGAUACCCCAGUAGUCCCUGUCUCUUAUAU